AGCGAACGCUGGCGGCAGGCUUAACACAUGCAAGUCGAGCGGGCGUAGCAAUACGUCAGCGGCAGACGGGUGAGUAACGCGUGGGAACGUACCUUUUGGUUCGGAACAACACAGGGAAACUUGUGCUAAUACCGGAUAAGCCCUUACGGGGAAAGAUUUAUCGCCGAAAGAUCGGCCCGCGUCUGAUUAGCUAGUUGGUGAGGUAACGGCUCACCAAGGCGACGAUCAGUAGCUGGUCUGAGAGGAUGAUCAGCCACAUUGGGACUGAGACACGGCCCAAACUCCUACGGGAGGCAGCAGUGGGGAAUAUUGGACAAUGGGGGGCAACCCCGAUCCAGCCAUGCCGCGUGAGUGAUGAAGGCCCUAGGGUUGUAAAGCUCUUUUGUGCGGGAAGAUAAUGACGGUACCGCAAGAAUAAGCCCCCGGCUAAACUUCGUGCCAGCAGCCGCGGUAAU
rnacentral:rRNA from 1 species